CCCCGCGAAAGCGGCUUCUUGGGAGCCGCUCUGCCGGCACGAGGGGCACCGGGCGCCUUUCCCAGUCUCCUUCACUGGUGAGCUUUCAUGUCCUGCCCUGAGAGAGGCAUGAAGAUCCUGCUUGGUGUCAACCUGAGCUUGGGAAGGAGAGCACUCGGAAAAUUUCAAACGUCCUUUACAAGCUGUGCAGUAUUGAAGAGACUUUGUGCAGAAGUAGAACUGGGGGAUGCUUGAAGGACUGAGAGCUUUCCUGCAGAGAAAGACUUGAGGAUAUUGAUGGGUAAAAAAUUGGACGUGAGCCAGCAAUGUGAUCCUGCAGCCCACAUUUUCCGCCUCUACUCUGCGUUGGUGAGACCUCAGCUGAAGGUCUGUGUCCUGGUACGGAUUUCUGGAGUGGACCUGUUGGAGGAGUUCAGAGGAAGGCCAUGAAAAUGGUCAGUGGGCUGGGGCAUCUCUCCUGAGCCAAAAAGCUGAGAGUUGCAGUUGUUCACCUGAGAGAAGAGAAGCCUCCAUGGAGACUUUAUUGUGGACUUUUAAUAUAUAAAGGGACUUAUAGGAAACACUAAGGUUACAAAAGAUGUAGUGACAAGAGGCAAUAGUUUUAAACUGAAAGAGGAUAGGGUUAGAUUAGCUGUUAAGAAGAAAUUCCUCCUUGUGAGGAUGGUGAGGUUGCCCAGAGAAGCUGUGGCUGCCUCAUCCCUGAAAGUGUCCAAGGCCAGGUUGG